rnacentral:rRNA from 1 species
UGGGGAAUAUUGGACAAUGGGCGAAAGCCUGAUCCAGCAAUGCCGCGUGAGUGAUGAAGGCCUUAGGGUCGUAAAGCUCUUUUACCCGGGAUGAUAAUGACAGUACCGGGAGAAUAAGCUCCGGCUAACUCCGUGCCAGCAGCCGCGGUAAUACGGAGGGAGCUAGCGUUGUUCGGAAUUACUGGGCGUAAAGCGUACGUAGGCGGUGACUCAAGUCAGAGGUGAAAGCCUGGAGCUCAACUCCAGAACUGCCUUUGAAACUAGGUCGCUAGAAUCACGGAGAGGUGAGUGGAAUUCCGAGUGUAGAGGUGAAAUUCGUAGAUAUUCGGAAGAACACCAGUGGCGAAGGCGGCUCACUGGACGUGUAUUGACGCUGAGGUACGAAAGCGUGGGGAGCAAACAGGAUUAGAUACCCUAGUAGUCCCUGAGCGGGCUGGCAAGGCGCAU